UAUUUUUAACUACAGGCUCAUGGGAACGCGGCGCUGGAAAAUCACGUCCAGAUGUACCUAAAGAGGCGCUUUCUCUGCUGAAACCUUCUCUCUUAAAAGGAGGGAGAGAAAAAAAAAAAAAAUCUGUGAAAUAGUUUGAAUUUCGGUUUCGGCAUGGAUCUAAUUGCGGUGCCGGAGCCUCCGCGCCCCAGCUCCUGCUCUGUCGGUGAAUUAGCAGAGAUUUGGCUGUAAGAGUGGGUUUACAGGAGGAGGGAAGAUAAGCGGCCCUGAGAAAGGAAGGGGCUUUUCCCAGGCUCUCCGUUUGCAGAGGUUCUGGAAUUCUGUGCUGGAGCCUUCUCACGCAAUGGCCUAAUUCAGCCAGGAGGGGAGAAACAGCCCUCUAGGUGGUGGGUUAAUUGCUGCAUUUACUAAUCUGAGAAAAAUGAGAAGGAAAAUAUCCCAUGAGAUUCUGCCAAGUAGGUACCUGAAAGAGCCAGAGGUUGUUGGGUUGUGAUCCUGCCAGUUGUUCUUUCCAUCAGUGGAGACCUUCACGAUUUCAUGGUUGCUGCAACCAAGACUGUUUUCAUCCCUCUGAUCCCUGAACAGCCCUUCCUCAUUUGCAAGGAUGAGAUUCAGAAGGAUGUCUCCUCCCACCUGUCCCUUCACCAAGAAGGUGUCAAGAAGUUAUCAUUAAUGCAUCUCCAAAGCAUCCAGGAUCCCUUGUACCCUGUUGUGCUGCCCUUUUGGUAGUUAUUGUAGUAGUUAAACCCUAU